rnacentral:ncRNA from 2 species
GCAAACUUCUGCGGGAGCCUAAGGAACUGGGCUGAGAGGGCAGCUAGGCCGCUGCCGACCGCUUGUACCUGAUUAGGGUAAUACCAGCGUAGGGAUUAAGAGAACGUUUGAC